rnacentral:rRNA from 1 species
UACGGAGGAUCCAAGCGUUAUCCGGAAUCAUUGGGUUUAAAGGGUCCGUAGGCGGUCUAGUAAGUCAGUGGUGAAAGCCCAUCGCUCAACGGUGGAACGGCCAUUGAUACUGCUGGACUUGAAUUAUUGGGAAGCAACUAGAAUAUGUAGUGUAGCGGUGAAAUGCUUAGAGAUUACAUGGAAUACCAAUUGCGAAGGCAGGUUGCUGCCAACUGAUUGACGCUGAUGGACGAAAGCGUGGGUAGCGAACAGG